AAUGAACGUUGGCGGCGUGGAUUAGGCAUGCAAGUCGUGCGCGAAUCGUAGCAAUACGAGGAGAGCGGCGAAAGGGAGAGGAUAGCAUAGAUACCUACCCUCGGAUCGGGGAUAGCUAUGGGAAACUAUAGGUAAUACCCGAUAACGUCUCCGGACCAAAGGUGUGAUUCCGUCCGUGGAGGGGUCUAUGUCCUAUUAGCUUGUUGGUGAGGUAACGGCUCACCAAGGCCAAGAUGGGUACGAGGCGUGAGAGCGUGUCCUCGCUCACUGGGACUGAGACACUGCCCAGACACCUACGGGUGGCUGCAGUCGAGAAUCUUCGGCAAUGGGCGCAAGCCUGACCGAGCGACGCCGCGUGCGGGAUGAAGGCCUUCGGGUUGUAAACCGCUGUCAGUGCGGAGGAAAUGUAGUGGGGUUCUCCCCAUUACUUGACCUAUGCGCAGAGGAAGGACGGGCUAAGUUCGUGCCAGCCGCCGCAGUAACAC
rnacentral:rRNA from 1 species